GAUGAACGCUGGCGGCGUGCUUAACACAUGCAAGUCGAACGGAGUGCUCUCGAAAGAGGAUUCGUCCAAUUGAGAGAGUUACUUAGUGGCGGACGGGUGAGUAACGCGUGAGGAACCUGCCUCGGAGUGGGGAAUAACAGUUAGAAAUGACUGCUAAUACGGCAUAAGACCACAGUAUGGCAUCAUACAGUGGUAAGAGAGAUAUGUAUCGGAUGUAGAUGGCCUCGCGUCCUAUUAGUUAGUUGGUGAGGUAACGGCUCACCAAGACCGCGAUAGGUAGCCGACCUGAGAGGGUGAACGGCCACACUGGAACUGAGAAACGGCCAG
rnacentral:rRNA from 1 species